UCAAAGGAAUUGACGGGGGCCCGCACAAGCGGCGGAGCAUGCGGCUUAAUUCGAUGCAACGCGAAGAACCUUACCUAGGCUUGACAGUUGGGGAAAUCUGGCAGAGAUGUCAGGUCCGCAAGGGCCCCAAAACAGGUGGUGCAUGGCUGUCGUCAGCUCGUGUCGUGAGAUGUUGGGUUAAGUCCCGCAACGAGCGCAACCCUCGUCGUAUGUUGCCAGCGGGUAAUGCCGGGGACUCAUACGAGACUGCCGGGGUCAACUCGGAGGAAGGUGGGGAUGACGUCAAGUCAUCAUGCCCCUUAUGUCUAGGGCUGCACGCAUGCUACAAUGGCCGGUACAAAGGGCUGCGAUACCGCAAGGUGGAGCGAAUCCCAAAAAGCCGGUCUCAGUUCGGAUUGGGGUCUGCAACUCGACCCCAUGAAGUCGGAGUCGCUAGUAAUCGCAGAUCAGCAACGCUGCGGUGAUACGUUCCCGGGCCUUGUACACACCGCCCGUCACGUCACGAAAGUCGGCAACACCCGAAGC
rnacentral:rRNA from 1 species